GUCUCUUCGGAGACAUCCGAUAAAACUAGAACAAUAUAAAGAAUAUUAGCAUGGCCGGACGCGAGAAUGACACGCACAAAAAAAGAAUUGUAUGCUUGUGUG